rnacentral:rRNA from 1 species
ACGGAGGGUGCAAGCGUUGCUCGGAAUUAUUGGGCGUAAAGGGUAGGUAGGUGGUCUCAUUUGUCGGGGGUGAAAGCCUUGGGCUUAACUCAAGAAGUGCCCCCGAAACGGUGAGACUCGGAGUCCUGGAGAGGCGAGUGGAAUUCCGCAUGUAGUGGUGAAAUGCGUAGAUAUGCGGAGGAACACCAGUGGCGAAGGCGGCCUCCUGGUACACUCCUGACACUCAGACGCGAAAGCUAGGGGAGCGAACGGGA